rnacentral:rRNA from 1 species
UACGAAGGGGGCUGGCGUUGCUCGGAAUCACUGGGCGUAAAGCGCACGUAGGCGGAUUGUUAAGUCAGGGGUGAAAUCCUGGAGCUCAACUCCAGAACUGCCUUUGAUACUGGCGAUCUUGAGUCCGGGAGAGGUGAGUGGAACUCCGAGUGUAGAGGUGAAAUUCGUAGAUAUUCGGAAGAACACCAGUGGCGAAGGCGGCUCACUGGCCCGGUACUGACGCUCAGGUGCGAAAGCGUGGGGAGCAAACAGG